rnacentral:rRNA from 1 species
UUAUUGGAGAGUUUGAUCCUGGCUCAGGACGAACGCUGGCGGCGUGCCUAAUACAUGCAAGUCGAGCGCUUGUCACUUAAGCUUGCUUAAGUG